AAAAAUUUUCAACGGUGGAUAUCUUGGUUCCCAUAUCGAUGAAGAACGCAGCCAAAUGCGAUACGUAAUGCGAAUUGCAGAAUUCCGCGAGUCAUCAAAUCUUUGAACGCAAUUGGCGC
rnacentral:rRNA from 1 species